UUUCAUCUUAAACAAUUUUCUGUUGCCGAAAGUGAGCUUGAUCCGAGGCGUAUUUCUCGGUUCAAUCAAAUUCAAAUUCUCUGACGUAUUCUGCACUACGAUCUUCUGUACGGUUUAAUCUAAGCCGUUUAUUCUCUUCUUUAUGGCUCUGAUCGCAUUCUCUACUUUUGUCUCAUGUGCGGCAUUAAAUCAUCUUAAUUGCCGCUGUCUAUUCAUCAUUACAGCUGACCUUGGGACUCGUAAUCGAAGCGACAGUUCGAUACGACGGCCUUUUCUUCUUCCUCAAGCUUCCCAUUCUUUUUGUCUCUUCCCAUUCUUAUUUCUUUUCCUCAUAUCCUUCACGAAAACCCCUUCUUUGUCUCUUUCAUCAUUCUUCGCUUUUCGUAACCGAUUCUCUCGGUUCUUCUCUUCUUUUGAACAACGUCUUUGGUUCCUCCUCUUCCUUCUCAUCCAUCUCUUGACUAUACUAUACUCAAACCUUUCGUUGACUUAGAU
rnacentral:lncRNA from 1 species